rnacentral:rRNA from 1 species
GACGAACGCUGGCGGCGUGCUUAACACAUGCAAGUCGAGCGGAAAGGCCACUUCGGUGGUACUCGAGCGGCGAACGGGUGAGUAACACGUGAGUAAUCUGCCCCUGGCUUUGGGAUAGCCACCGGAAACGGUGAUUAAUACCGGAUACGACCACUUCUCGCAUGGGAUGGUGGUGGAAAGUUUUUUCGGCCAGGGAUGUGCUCGCGGCCUAUCAGCUUGAUGGUGAGGUAAUGGCUCACCAUGGCUUCGACGGGUAGGCGGCCUGAGAGGGUGACCGGUCACACUGGGACUGAGACACGGCCAAGACUCCAACGGGAGGCAGCAGUGGGGAAUAUUGGACAAUGGUCGGAAGCCUGAUCCAGCAACGCCGCGUGGGGGAUGACGGCCUUCGGGUUGUAAACCUCUUUCAGCAGGGACGAAGCGCAAGUGACGGUACCUGCAGAAGAAGCACCGGCCAACUACGUGCCAGCCGCCGCGGUAA